GGGCUCUCGCUUCGGCAGCACAUAUACUAAACUGGAACCAUACGGAGAUCAGCAUGGCCCUGUGUAAGGAUGGCACAUAAAUUUGUGAAGUGUUCCAUAUUUCU